AUGUGGGUAAUUCACCUCUCCUUCCACAAGUUAAAUGGGAGAUGAAUUGAGAGCCUCUAGGUAGAUCUUGGCGGAUUCCUCACUGGCUUACCACAGCUGCUACUGCUCUGAGCUUUGGUUCUUCUUGCAGGAAAGAAUCAGAAGGGGGCCCAGACCCAGACAGAGGAGGAGAUGACCAGAUAUGUCCAGGAGCUCCAAAAGCAUCAGGAAACAGCUGAAAAGACCAAGAGAGUGAGCACCAAAGAGAUCUAAUGAGGAGGCACAGACCAGUGUCUGGAUCCCAGCAUCUUCUCCACUUCAGCGCUGAGUUCAG
rnacentral:lncRNA from 1 species